rnacentral:lncRNA from 1 species
GAGGUGAGGAGGACAAGCACUGUGGUGGAUGGUGAUUGUGCCUAGAUGGCACUGACUGAGUCACCGGCUGCUCUACCGACAGCCGCUGCUGCUGGAUUUGCUACUACUGAAGGCUUUGAAUCACCUCUGUCAAAACCUUCAUUUGUUGCAUGAGUACAGCAAUCUGUGUAUCUGUGAUGACCACAGGACUUGAAGAACCGGGCUCUGCCACUGAAGGUAGAGGAGAAACAUCUUUUCGGUAGGAAGACUGUCUCGCCGAUCCAGUCAAGUGUUGAGCUCUGAUUUUUGGUAUAGUUGAUUGUAGUUUGCCCUUUCCUGGUGUGUCAAUUUGUUACGGCUAAUCCUUUGUUGCCUGUCACC